rnacentral:rRNA from 1 species
AUAAACGCUGCGGCGCACAUAAGACAUGCAAGUCGAACGGAAGUACGUUAUUAAAUUGGAAGGAAGAUUUUAUCUGAAUGAAGUUUGAUAACAAUGGCUUUAGUGGCGGACUGGUGAGUAACGCGUAAGCAAUCUGCCCAUUAGAGGGGAAUAACAAUGAGAAAUCAUUGCUAAUACCGCAUAUGCCAUAGUGAAGACAUCUUCACAGUGGGAAAGGAGCAAUCCGCUAAUGGAUGAGCUUGCGUCUGAUUAGUUGGUUGGUGGGGUAACGGCCUACCAAGACGACGAUCAGUAGCCGGACUGAGAGGUUGAACGGCCACAUUGGGACUGAGAUACGGCCCAGACUCCUACGGGAGGCAGCAGUCGGGAAUAUUGCGCAAUGGAGGAAACUCUGACGCAGUGACGCCGCGUAUAGGAAGAAGGUUUUCGGAUUGUAAACUAUUGUCGUUAGGGAAGAAAAAGACAGUACCUAAGGAGGAAGCUCCGGCUAACUACGUG